GACUCUUCUGGUUGGCAGCUUCCCUGGAAUAUGAUUGCAGUGGGAACUGAAAUAACUGGAUACACAGAACUGCAAUGCCAAGGCGUUUGAACAUGUUAACAAUGAAUGAGGAAGAUCAUUCUCCCAGGGUUGUUGCCUUUAUGAUGGAGGAUUUGGCAGAAAAGCAGAAUUUCUUCAACGUAGAAGAGCUGAAGGAGCAUCUUCACG
rnacentral:lncRNA from 1 species